CUUGCUGAGCUUGUUAUUAUAAUGUACCAUGUCUUACAGCAUGUUUUGUUGACAGUCUAAUAGAUUCCUCUAAUUAAACCAACAAAUACCAAAGGUGACAUACAUUCUUCAAUAUUCUAGGCCAUAGGGCAGGGGUAGGCAAAUAUCGGCACUCCAGAUGCUGUGGACUAUAAUGAACUUAAAGCAAUAUUGCUGGCAACACAUCAAAGAAGAUGCUGUCCAUAACAUAUGGAGUGCUUAAGGUUGCUCUAAGAUUAUUAUCAAAAUAGGUUUUACCAAGCAAAUAGUUCAUUGUCUUUUUAAAUAACUAGUAAAGUUUCUUACUAUAUACCCAUUCUUUUUUGUUAAAAUUAGUUCUCUAUCCAAUCUCAGUUUACUUGUUUUCCAAAUGCAAUAACUAUC